UCCUGCGUACGGCGCGCGUAGCUCUUGGAGACUCCGGGCGCCGCCAUCAUGUCGACGGCCAUGAACUUCGGGUCCAAGAGCUUCCAGCCGCGGCCCCCGGACAAGGGCAGCUUCCCGCUGGAUCACUUCGGUGAAUGUAAAAGCUUUAAAGAGAAAUUCAUGAAGUGUCUCCGGGACAAUAAUUUUGAAAAUGCUUUGUGCAGAAAUGAGUCAAAAGAGUAUUUAGAGUGCAGGAUGGAGAGGCAACUGAUGGCACGAGAACCCCUGGAAAAACUGGGAUUUGGAGAUUUGAUAGAUGGAAAGUCAGAGACAGAAACGGAACCGUGAUGGGAAGAAGCCCGCAGGGCUGUGCGGGCUUGUCCGACGACCUGCCACCCCAGCAGCUUGCUUGAGGGGAACUGCUGGGUCGCGUGGUGAGCGUGUUUAAGCCUCGGCACCGGUGAGUCUCUGUGGCUGAACUGCAGCGUCCCAGCGCGCGCGCGGCCGUGCCGCGUCUCCCUGACUACGCGUGGUGCGGAGCAUCGUCACGUGCACGCUGGCCAUCUGUGCGCCUGCCUUGGAGAGAGCUCUGUUCAGGUCCUCUUCCCGCUGACUUGUAAGAGUUCCUUAUAAGGUCUUCCGCAACGUCACUGGCGUUCCUCCCCCUCCCACUGAGAGCUGGGAGCCACCUGCUGCCCCCCACCUGGGGCGGGAGCCACGAGCACUCCAACCCGGGGAGGACGUCGCUUCCGAGGCUGCCGUGAAAGGAUGCACCUUCCGCCUGGCGCGCUGUCUCUCCCUCUCUGUGUGUCUCUCCUUCUCUCUCUGCGUCUCUCCCUCUAGCUCUCUGUCUCGCUCUCCUGAGCCGCCACUCUGCCUGAGUCCCCUCUGCUCAGGCGCUGGGCACGCGGGAACGGCCUCGGGGAGCCUCAGCCACCACCUGACCCACGGCUGGAUGUUGCUGCUGCCGCGGGCUCCCCGGAUGCAUCUGGGACCUUUCCCCGCAGCUCCCGCCCCUGCCGCAGCCAGGCCGCCCGUGCUCACUGCCUUUGGGAAGCCACGUCCUGGCAGCCUCACUCCAAGCCCGAGAGAUGCGCCACCCUCCUCCUCCUGCCAGAUGCUGGUUCUCUUAGGGACACCAAGCAAAAAAUAUUUUUAAAUGUCCCCAAACCCACUAACAACCUAUAGCGCCCUGCCCCCACAGACACCCCACCCCCAUGUCACCUCUGGGGGCAACCCUGAGACCCCGCCUUCCCAGGGGUCUCCAGGGCCAGUGCCGCUCUCAGAUGGAGAAACCGUCCUGGUCCCAGGGGCCUGUCCCUGCUGCCCCCUGGCUUUGGGGUGGGGAGGGGCCUCCAUAUCUGUUUCUGUUAAGCACACACAAAGCUCCUGCGUGGCCCUGCUGUACCAAGGGUCACCUUUCCUUUGGGUUUUUCUGUGUUUUUCUUGGUGAAAAAAAAAAAAGAUCCUUUUUGUUGGGGGUGGGGCCGGAGGCUGAGGGCAGAGGCUCAGGAGUUGCACUGGGUGAGGGCUUUAAAACAGGAACUGUCCCGAGCCACACCAGGAAGCUGGUCCUCGUGGCCAGGCGCGUCCCUGUCGCUCGUUUUAGCCACCAUCUUCGUGCCAUCUCCACCCUUCUGGGAGGUGCUUGCUUCCUCAGCCCCCGUGAGUCUGGCCCCCAGUGGAGGGCUGACCCCCAAUCCCCAGCUACCCCGCUCCUGGGAAGACCCACAGGGGUCCCCUCCGGGGUCUGGCU